ACUCGCCGCAGCAGCAGCCGUUCCCGUCCGCCGGCGGCAAGCGGCUGGGGAAGGAGGAGGCCGGCGACGAGGAGGAGAAGGAGGCGGAGGACCCGAUUGCUUUUUUGAAGAAAAACUAGGGAUCCGAUUGCAUUUUUAGCCCGUUUAUGUGUGGGAUCGGGCAGUCAGAUUCGCGUUUAACCCAAGCAAAGCGAGCAGUUUUCGCACUUGGUAGUUUUUUGUCACGGAUUAAUAAAAAAGUGGUAGUUUUCGGGACAAAAUCGUAAAGUGGUAGUUUUCUGUCACGUUUCCGCGAAUUGUGGUAGUUUUUGGUUAAAUACUCCCUUUUAUAGUUACCGCUUGGAUAGGAUACAUGGAGUUCAUAUUCUAUCAGAUUUUAUCCCUGAGUAAUUUGGUCCUAAAGAUGUCAGGUUUAAGAAUGUGCCACUUUAAUGUCUGUUGUGCGGCCUCGGUUACACAUAAUUUGUUCCUAAAGAUGUCAUUUCAGAAUGUGCCACUUUAAUGUCUGUUGUGCGGCCUCUGUUACACAUAAUUGCACUUUUGUCCUUAUGUCUUCGAUUUUGCUUUCAGAGGUUCUUAGUGCUAGAAAUAUUAUUGUUCCGGAUUUUAGCUGUACUACUCAUGCCACUCUUUUUUUCUUGCUUUGUAGCUGAAGGAUUAGUGAGACUGUUUGGGCUGAAUUCUGAUUUUGUAGCACUUAUUCCAUGUGAGGCAGGUAGCAUAUUGAUAUCGUCCAGAAAUAAUAGUGUCAUCUCAACUUCUAAAUAAGAAUCUAGCAGAUGUGCCUACUGGUUUAUGAUGGCACCAUAAAUAAUAGUGACAUCUGUUUUGUAUCUUGCUUGUAGUGUCCAGAUUUCCAAUUUUGUUGCUAUAUCUUUGGCGGUGAGUUGAUAUCGAUUUAUUAGUUCUAGAGACAAAAGAAAUUUGAAAGCGUGAAUUUUAUCUAAUCCAUGUUGUGCUUCCAACUUUGAAGACUGGAGAAGAUGUAAUUCUGUUUGACCUCUCUUUCAUUAAUCCGUUAGGAAAUAUAUAUGAUGUAGGAGAGUUACACUAUCAAAUGUUUGGAAUACUUCUUCCAUGUUGAGAUGGGAUGCAUAUAGUUAAUGACAUGCUUUUGAGUUCAUAUAGACAGUUCAUCAUAGAAAAUGCACCGCACUGUAUUUUCUUUAUAUAUGAAUUUAGAAUACAUCAUUACUAUUUUAUCGAUCAUUCUUACUGGUUUCUAAUCAUGAUAUUUGGCAUUCUCUUGCACAAGGAUAUUGUGGUAUGGUAGUUCUUAUUUUUUGUGAACCGAUUCUAUCGUGCUUCUACUUCUAUGUGUUUGUUGAUGAUUGAACGGAGGUUAGAUUAGAUUAUUGCCAUGGUAGUUCUCAUCUUCUUUAUCUGAAGUAGUAAGUUUGUUUGAUGUUUUCUAGCUUUCCUUCGAUUAUGAAAAUUCACAGAGAAUGUCCCAUUGUCACUUCAAGGAGUAGCAGCUGAUAUUGGUGCGUCCACCUCCGCGUCAUGCCCGGGCCGAACUGCCACACCCCCUGGUUCUCCACAUUUUCUCUUUGGUGUUUUAUACAUUCAGUUAUAUCCUAUCUUAUCCAGUAUGUCUCAUAUCUUAGUUGAUUUGCAGUUUGUACUCUACUUUACAAACAUUGCAGAAAUAUUCUACUAACAGCUUAUUUUCUACUGUUUGGUUGUUUAAACUAAGAAAUUAAAUCUGGACCCGUACAAAUCUUGAGUAAAAUAUAUGCUAAUUAGUUCCUCUUGUUUAAUCUAUUCUAGGAUUGGGCACUACACAUAGAGCUAAAAAGUUACAUUGCCAUUUUAAGUGCAAACAAACAGGUUAGGUGGUGUGUACCUUAUUUCAGGAUCAACAAUCGGUGAAUCGGAUCUAAGGUUUGAGUUAGUACUGAGCAUUGUGUAUUCUAGAUGGACUAAUUGAGUGUGCUAAUUGAACCAUAUUCAUGGUGUUAGUCUGAAGUCAGAUUAUGCGAUUCACUCGUAUUAAUGCCAUUACUAUUGGUACAUUAGAUGAAUUGGGAGAGUUAAGUUAUGGGCUUCUUGCCAAUUACAUGCCCACAAAUUAUACGUUGUGACAACUUUUCUCUUUAUGACGAGCAUGUGAUGUCGUAACUUUCCUUUGGAGGACGUGGGGUCAUUUUCUGUCUAUUAAAUAUCUGCUUUGUGCUUUUGGAAGUGUCUAGCAGGGCCACAACUUAUGAAUGUAGUUGCAAUAAUGCACAAGAACUUCUUGUCAUUAGUUAAAAAAAUAAACUAUGGGUCAUUUUAACAACAUCAUUUCACCUUUUCAGUGUCAGCUAAGGUAUUCUGGUUUCUUGAGAUGGUUUGACUAUUUGAGUUUCCAUUGGUUACAGAUCAAAUGUGGAGUCCACUUCUUUCCUUGGUUCAGAUCAAAUGUGGAGAUGAUGUUUUUUGUUCCGCUAUGACUAUUAUUUUCACCUUGGUGACAGUCUCACAAAUCCUCUUUCCUUUCUUUUGUUGAUGUCUUGCCUCCUGUGUACUGAUAGAGGCAUAUAACAGAUGCAUGUCUCGGAUUAGAGAACUAUGAUUGUCCAUCUAUUUUAUAUUUUUCAUUUA